rnacentral:rRNA from 1 species
GAUGAACGCUGGCGGCGUGCUUAACACAUGCCAGUCGAACGGAAAGGCUCCUGCUUGCAGGGGUACUCGAGUGGCGAACGGGUGAGUAACACGUGGGUGAUCUGCCCUGCACUUCGGGAUAAGCCUGGGAAACUGGGUCUAAUACCGGAUAGGACCACAUUUUGGAUGGUGUGGUGGAAAGUUUUUCGGUGUGGGAUGAGCUCGCGGCCUAUCAGCUUGUUGGUGGGGUAAUGGCCUACCAAGGCGUCGACGGGUAGCCGGCCUGAGAGGGUGUACGGCCACAUUGGGACUGAGAUACGGCCCAGACUCCUACGGGAGGCAGCAGUGGGGAAUAUUGCACAAUGGGCGCAAGACUGAUGCAGCGACGCCGCGUGGGGGAUGACGGCCUUCGGGUUGUAAACUCCUUUCGCUAGGGACGAAGCGUUUUUGUGACGGUACCUGGAGAAGAAGCACCGGCUAACUACGUG